CGAAUGCUGACAUAAGUAACGAUAAAGCGGGUGAAAAGCCCGCUCGCCGGAAGACCAAGGGUUCCUGUCCAACGUUAAUCGGGGCAGGGUGAGUCGACCCCUAAGGCGAGGCCGAAAGGCGUAGUCGAUGGGAAACAGGUUAAUAUUCCUGUACUUGGUGUUACUGCGAAGGGGGGACGGAGAAGGCUAUGUUGGCCGGGCGACGGUUGUCCCGGUUUAAGCGUGUAGGCUGGUUUUCCAGGCAAAUCCGGAAAAUCAA
rnacentral:rRNA from 1 species